GGAGAGAUGCCGGAGUGGUCGAACGGACCGCACUCGAAAUGCGGCAUACGGGCAACCGUAUCCAGGGUUCGAAUCCCUGUCUCUCCG
rnacentral:tRNA from 1 species